rnacentral:misc_RNA from 1 species
UCCGGUUUGGCACCGGCAGUCCCCCCAGAGUCCCCGGCUGGCCGUUGAGGGCCACCGCUGGCAACUGGGGGCGGGGGUUGCGCUCGUUGCGGGACUUAACCCAACAUCUCACGACACGAGCUGACGACAGCCAUGCAGCACCUGUGCUGGGGUCCCGAAGGAGGGCCCCGGUUUCUCGGGGCUUUCCCCAGCAUGUCAAGCCCGGGUAAGGUUCUUCGCGUUGCGUCGAAUUAAACCACAUGCUCCACCGCUUGUGCGGGCCCCCGUCAAUUCCUUUGAGUUUCAGCCUUGCGGCCGUACUCCCCAGGCGGGGCACUUAAUGCGUUAGCGCCGGCACCCAGGGGGUCAAUACCCCGGACACCUAGUGCCCAUCGUUUACAGCGUGGACUAC